rnacentral:rRNA from 1 species
AUUGAACGCUGGCGGCAGGCCUAACACAUGCAAGUCGAACGAGUGGCGGAAGGGUGAGUAAUGUCUGGGAAACUGCCCGAUGGAGGGGGAUAACUACUGGAAACAGUAGCUAAUACCGCAUACCAUCGGAUGUGCCCAGAGGGGAUUAGCUAGUGGGUGGGGUAACGGCUCACCUAGGCGACGAUCCCUAGCUGGUCUGAGAGGAGGACCAGCCACACUGGAACUGAGACACGGGCCAGACUCCUACGGGAGGCAGCAGUGGGGAAUAUUGCACAAUGGGCGCAAGCCUGAUGCAGCCAUGCCGCGUGUAUGAAGAAGGCCUUCGGGUUGUAAAGUACUUUCAGCGAGGAGGCGUUACUCGCAGAAGAAGCACCGGCUAACUCCGUGCCAGCAGCCGCGAUAAUAC